rnacentral:rRNA from 2 species
UUUGACGGCGAGCGGCAAACGGGUGAGUAAUAUCUGGGGAUCUACCUAUACGAGGGGGAUAACUGUUGGAAACGACAGCUAAUACCGCAUAAUGUUUAUAUUAAAACCAAAGUGGGGGACCUUUUUUGGCCUCGCGCGUAUAGAUGAACCCAGACGAGAUUAGCUAGAUGGUAAGGUAAAGGCUUACCAUGGCCACGAUCUCUAGCUGGUCUGAGAGGAUGACCAGCCACACUGGAACUGAGACACGGUCCAGACUCCUACGGGAGGCAGCAGUGGGGAAUAUUGCACAAUGGGCGAAAGCCUGAUGCAGCUAUGCCGCGUGUAUGAAGAAGGCCUUAGGGUUGUAAAGUACUUUCAGUAGGGGAAGAAGUAUAAAUUGUUAAUACCAUUUUAUAUUGACGUUACUUACAAAAGAAGCACCGGCUAACUCCGUGCCAGCAGCCGCGGUAAUACGGAGGGUGCUAGCGUUAAUCAGAAUUACUGGGCGUAAAGAGCGCGUAGGUGGUUUUUUAAGUCAGAUGUGAAAUCCCUGGGCUUAACCUAGGAACUGCAUUUGAAACUAAAUAACUAGAGUUUCGUAGAGGGAGGUAGAAUUCUAGGUGUAGCGGUGAAAUGCGUAGAUAUCUGGAGGAAUACCAGUGGCGAAAGCGGCCUCCUAGACGAAAACUGACACUGAGGCGCGAAAGCGUGGGGAGCAAACAGGAUUAGGUACCCUGGUAGUCCAUGCCGUAAACGAUGUCAACUCGGAGGUUGCUUCCUUAGAGGAGUGGCUUCCAAAGCUAACGCGUUAAGUUGACCGCCUGGGGAGUACGGUCGCAAGGCUAAAACUCAAAUGAAUUGACGGGGGCCCGCACAAGCGGUGGAGCAUGUGGUUUAAUUCGAUGCAACGCGAAAAACCUUACCUGGUCUUGACAUCCAUAGAAUCUAGUAGAAAUAUUGGAGUGCCUUCGGGAACUAUGAGACAGGUGCUGCAUGGCUGUCGUCAGCUCGUGUUGUGAAAUGUUGGGUUAAGUCCCGCAACGAGCGCAACCCUUAUCCUUUGUUGCCAUCAGGUUAAGCUGGGAACUCAAGGGAGACUGCCGGUUAUAAACCGGAGGAAGGUGGGGACGACGUCAAGUCAUCAUGGCCCUUACGACCAGGGCUACACACGUGCUACAAUGGUGUAUACAAAGAGAUGCAGCUCUGUAAAGAUAAGCAAACCUCAUAAAGUGUAUCGUAGUCCGGACUGGAGUCUGCAACUCGACUCCACGAAGUCGGAAUCGCUAGUAAUCGUGGAUCAGAAUGCCACGGUGAAUACGUUCCCGGGCCUUGUACACACCGCCCGUCACACCAUGGGAGUGGGUUGCAAAAGAAG